UACGUAGGGGGCAAGCGUUGUCCGGAUUUAUUGGGCGUAAAGAGCUCGUAGGCGGUUUGGUAAGUCAGGUGUGAAAUCUCCACGCUCAACGUGGAGGGGCCACCUGAUACUGCCAUGACUGGAGUCCGGUAGAGGAGUGUGGAAUUCCCGGUGUAGCGGUGAAAUGCGCAGAUAUCAGGAGGAACACCGGUGGCGAAGGCGGGUCUCUGGGCCGAAAUUGACGCUGAGGAGCGAAAGCGUGGGGAGCAAACAGG
rnacentral:rRNA from 1 species